CCUACGGGAGGCAGCAGUGGGGAAUAUUGCACAAUGGGGGAAACCCUGAUGCAGCGACGCCGCGUGAGUGAAGAAGUAUCUCGGUAUGUAAAGCUCUAUCAGCAGGGAAGAAAAUGACGGUACCUGACUCAGAAGCCCCGGCUAACUACGUCCCAGCAGCCGCGGUCAUCCGUAGGGGGCCAGCGUUAUCCGGAUUUACUGGGUGUAAAGGGAGCGUAGACGGGGUGGCAAGUCUGGAGUGAAAUGCCAGGGCUUAACUCUGGUAUUGCUCUGGAUACUGGCGAACUUGAGUGCGGGAGGGGGAGGCGGAAGUCGUAGUGUAGCGGUGAAAUGCGUAGAUAUUAGGAGGAACACCGGGGGCGAAGGCGGCCUACUGGACCGUAACUGACGUUGAGGCUCGAAAGCGUGGGGAGCAAACAGGAUUAGAUACCCUGGUAGUC
rnacentral:rRNA from 1 species